rnacentral:rRNA from 1 species
GACGUAGGGAGCAAGCGUUGUCCGGAAUUACUGGGCGUAAAGAGCUCGUAGGCGGGACCGUAAGUCCGAAAGGAAAUCUCAAGGCUCAACUUUGGGGCUUUUUCGGAUACUGCGGUUCUUGAGGAUAUCAGGGGACAGUAGAAUUCUCGGUGUAGCGGUGAAAUGCGUAGAUAUCGGGAGGAAUACCAGUGGCGAAGGCGACUGUCUGGGAUAUUCCUGACGCUGAGGAGCGAAAGCGUGGGUGGCAAACGGG